GGUCAUCUUACCCUCUGCACUGUGAUGGUCUCGGGCAAGUAUGUAGUGCUGCUGCUGGCUGAGUCUGUCCCAGCUGGGCGAUGGGCUGCAGCCCCCAGCAGGCAGCUGGGAAGUGGUGGUGGAGUGCUCUGGUGUGCAAUUCCUCAGCCAGAUAAGUGACUGCUUUAGUUUAUCCUUUUGACAAGAGCAGAGGUUUUCUAUUUUAGACAGUCACAAAAGGUGAGCACGCAGUGUUUAGGGCGAAGGCAGCUCAAGCAGUGAUCUGGGCACAGAGAAAUAGGGAAAAGGAAGAAAAAGUGUCUUUGAAAUGAUCCCACUUAACCGUCGAGUAACUAUUACCAUGGCACAAACCCAAAUUGAUAUGCUGCCUCCACAACACUUUGAUUCACUCCUGUAGCCAGGUGCUGAGAGUGACUAUAAUAAUACAGGGUGUUACAACAGAGAAGUGCAUGGGGGAGCAGACAGGCAAGACAGUAGUCAGAAAGCAAGCUGUCUACUCUACAGGCAAGGCAGACACUUCAAAGAGUGAGGAAAUCUUUUCAAGGUAGUUAUUGUCAGAAGCUACACAAGCGUUCCUAGUGAUGUUAAUGCCCACUGUUACUACUCACUCCCACCAAAAAGCAUUUUUGUCCUGGUGAGGUGGCUUUCCCUAUGAUGGGGUGACAAGUGAUCCUUGAUCCUUUUGUUUUAUUCCAGUUUGUUGCAGAUAUCCUGCUUUUCUAGCCCAUGGUCGCUGCUUCUUUGACUUGAAAGUUCAAAGUGGCAGAGCCACUAGCCUCAUUUUACAAGUACAGAGACACAUGAAGAGUUUAUUUUAGUCCUAGGAAGCACCAUAGAUUCCCACACUUUUACUUUUUCCCUUAAUCUAUCUGAAACUUCAAACAUCCAGCAGGACUGUAUAAAAAGAAGAGGGACUGUGUUUCCUUUCUGCAUCUCAGUUUCAACACUUUCUGCCAGUGGAUGCUGACGGCAACCUACUACUAAAGGAAUCACUGCUGGCUUUAGAUGCAAUUUCCCAAGCCUGUUACCUCUAGGCUACAUUAUGACACACCAGUAUCGUCUUUUACUCCAACAGUUUCUAGCAUUUACCACAACAGUUCUCAUGUCACAUCUGCCUUUCUUAUACUUAAGGUGCAGCUUGAGGCAGGUGAAGCAAAAUCAACACAGAGAAAUCCUAAAGCUCCUCUCUUUCCUUGCUCUCCUUGCUAACCUGGCAUGAGGAGGGUUGCUGUGGAAAUGGAGGAGGCAAAAUCUCAUUCAAGAAAAUAUUGGAAGCAGGUGAUAGGGGAGAAUGCUGAUUUAUCAACCCCACUCUCUGACUGGUACAACCCCCCCUUGCACUGAGAAAAUUGGUUUGUAUUUGAUUCUGCUGAUGUAGCAAACCAAAACAGCAAGUCAAUUUGUGAUAGAAGAUGGAAAAAAAAGAAGUGACCUGGUUUAUUAAUCCCAGAAGAGACAGGACUACAUUAACCAAGCCUGGAACCUCCAAGAAUGACUCAAUUUACUUCUUACACCCUUAUCUUGAUUUUCGACUCUCACAGUCCGGAUUUGCACAUACUGUAAACUUUCAUGGUAUUCAGAUUCCCUUAUAGGAUUUCCACAUGAAAAUGGACAGGAUUCCAGUCUGUUCCAUUAAAUCUUCGCAAAAGAUCCAUGUUUGAGACAAAAUUUAUGGCAUGUAGUCACUGUAGCUGACUGAUCAUUUUGUUACGGUUGCCUAUUCUGAGGCACUUAUUGUAUCUCAAAGCAUUUUAAGAGAUGGAGUCAUUUAUCAGAGUACUUUUGAGAUGAUUAUAACUACAGGAGAAGCCCUUUAAUUGGGAGAUUGCAUAAGAAGAUAUUGUAUCCUAAAUGCAAAGGAACAAAAGGAACAGAAAUAAAGGGAAUAACCUGCAAAAUGAAAAUGUCAUGAAUAAAAAAGGAUCAUCACUAGAUAUAGUUGUAUUUCAUCUUAACCUUACCAACACUUAAUCUUUAUAUCACAUUUUCUACACUAAAAUAUUAAGGCUUGGGAUUUCUCUGGCACCUCCUCAUGCACAUUUUAAUUAGACUUAUGAAGAAUUGAAUAUAAAAUCAGGUCAGCUGUGGGUUUCUGGUGUCAGCCUCGAAGGACUGGGGUUGCUACAGCCUCAGAUUAACCCCAUGGAAGACAUUAGGGUUAAGCAGUCCUUACACCUUCCUCUUCCAUUCUUAUCGAAACAAACAAGUUGCUUUUGAAAACUUGGAAUAAACUUCAGGAGGAAAAAACACAACUUGAACCAUCCUGAGUGUGACCUAAUUUUAAUGGAAGUGUCAUGCUACCAUGUGCUUCUCAGUUUGGCAGCAGUCAAAUGCCUCUUCGCUAAGGCCUAUCUCUGCACAUCUCCGUGGCCUCCAGUUAAAAGUGCUGUCCCAAAAUAGAUUCCAGCAAAUGCAUUUUGAAAAAAAACCACCUUAGUUCUACUUGCAAACGACAAUCUGGGGUGUAGCAAAAACAGUGUCUACUGGCUGCAGAAAAUACACAGUCACCUUCAUUGUCCUAAGUAAUGCCCAUACAGACCCACAAAAUCUCACUUUUAUCAGUACUGUGUUCCCUACUGUGUGCCUGUAGCAGGAUGCUUACCUGUGCAAUUAUUCUGCAUUAAAUGACCAGCGCUGCUGGGAAGUAGGAGUAACAUUGUUUUGGUAUAAAAUGACCCUAGUAAUUCCUUGGAUGUUGUUAUAAACCAGUGAGUCCUGAAGAGGUUGGCUGGGCUUGGCUGACUGACUUUGGACAUCAGUGGCAAAAGGCUGGGAAUCUGAGAAAAGCUGAAGACCUCAAUGUAAAUACAAAUUACAGUCUCUGAUGAUUUUUGCAGUGCAAUAUUUAUUGUGAAAAGAGGCUCAGCCAUGCAGGUUAUUUCUAGGCACUCGUAGACUUCCCUUACCUAAAAUCAUUUAGUGCUGCUGGUAGAACAGACAGUUCUUUAGAGUGUGUGUUGGUUCAAAAUUUUAACAUCAGGGAAGUAUCAUUUUUUCUUCAGGAGGAGUGAGGUAUUAUGUCUUAUUUUGAGUAGGAGAGUGAUUCCAUCUGAGGAAAGGUAACAUGUAGGAUCUGACAGCAGCAGGGACGACUCAGACACUACGAAGGAGAAAAAGAUGCAGUAAGGCCUGCAGCUGAGACAGGCCGAUUCAUCGCCAUCUAGCCACAUCACCUGCCAGGUAUUCUUGAAAUACCCAUGUACCCUUUUGUCCGUCACAAACGAUAAGAGCAUGAAAGGUCUAUUCUUAACAGAAAUGGUAUUCUACACUUGCUCAACUUACAUCCAUUCAAGUGAGAGUCAGGAACCAGAAACAGCAGCUGAGAAACAAGCUAUUUGUUUCCAAGGGAAGGUGGAGCAACCACUACACUGGAGACACUUCGGCCUCUAUGAUCCAUACCGAGUUCCAGUAACUUCAGUGGGGCUUUACCACCUGCUGAUAGGGACUUUGGCCCCUUCAUGUGCAUGGAUGAGCGUACACAGUUUUCACAGAACUGCAGCCCAGACAGCAAUAAGGACUGUCAGGAUCCUCAAGCAGUGGUCAAACCAGAUCUGACCAGUCCUUCACAUCACCUACAAAAGCCAGUCUGUGCUGGCAGAGCCACAACACAGCCAUUUCUGUGUUCUGGUAAUGGAGUCCUAAAGACUUCGCUGGCGGACUCAGCAAUUCUGUAACUGAGCUACGGGUCACACUGCGUUUCUCACUGGACUGAUUUACCAGCUUCAUACCUGCAGUUACUGGAGAGAAAGUGUGCUGAUUACUUGCAUCAAGGCCAUGAGGCAGGAGAUACAUAUUUGUGACAGGAUGUCACUGCCCUGAAUAGCCUGAGUUGGUAGCUAGGGCACUUUUCUAAGGGCAAGAGCUUUGAGUGACUUCU